rnacentral:piRNA from 1 species
UCCCCUAACAAGAUUACAAAGCUCACUCGC